AUACGGAGGAUGCAAGCGUUAUCCGGAUUUAUUGGGUUUAAAGGGUGCGUAGGCGGUUUGCUAAGCGGGAGGUGAAAUGCCGGCGCUCAACGUCGGAAGUGCCUCCCGAACUGGUGGACUGGAAUGACUCUGCCGUGGGAGGAAUGUGUAGUGUAGCGGUGAAAUGCUUAGAGAUUACACAGAACACCGAUUGCGAAGGCAGCUCACGAAGUGUUUAUUGACGCUGAGGCACGAAAGCGUGGGGAUCAAACAGGAUUAGAUACCCUGGUAGUCCACGCAGUAAACGAUGAUGGCUAACCGCUGGUUUAUUCGGAUCAGUGGCCAAGCGAAAGCGAUAAGCCAUCCACCUGGGGAGUACGACCGCAAGGUUGAAACUCAAAUGAAUUGACGGGG
rnacentral:rRNA from 1 species